AACGAACGCUGGCGGCAGGCCUAACACAUGCAAGUCGAGCGAGGACACCGGUACUACCGGCGGAUGGGGGAGUCGCGCGUGGGACUGGGCAGUAAUAUACCGGAAAGCCCUGGGAAGUGGGGGGUAAUGUCGGGUACGCUAUGUUAAGACAAGAUUUGUCGUAGAAGGAUAAGCACGCGUUGGAUGAGGUAGUUGGUGGGGUAAUGGCCUACCAAGCAGACGAUCCAUAGCGGGUUAGAGAGGAUGAGCAGCCACACUGGGCCUGAGACACGGCCCAGACUCCUACGGGAGGGAGCAGUAGGGAAUCUUAGACAAUGGGGGCAACUCUGAUAUAGCCACGCCGCGUGAGUGAUGAAGGCCGUAGGGUUGUAAAGCUCGUUUAGCUGGGAAGAUAAUGACGGUACCAGCAGAAGAAGCCCCGGCUAACUCCGUG
rnacentral:rRNA from 1 species